AGUAACUCUCAGUCGACAUGAUGAUAGAGCAAUGAGGCUACCGAAAGGGAGAGCAGCAAAGUGUGAGUGACCUGGAGCACCCUCUCGGCAAAGUGGUGGGAGCAUUGGUUUGACACAGCAAUUACCAUUGCAGUCAUUAGCUGCUCACAUGACUUGUUUUCAAAGAACUGAGAAAAGGAAAUUUCCAUAAUGUUGCAGCUGUAAAAUACUAUGCUCCCGCAAUGAACGUACCUUGGGAAAUGUGAAAUUCACAGAAACUAGAAACUUACUUUGGGAGGGGAAGUUGAAAGAAGUUGCAAGUAACUUCAGAAACAUGGAAGAAGGGAUUUAGGAUUACAUACUAAAUGCUUCCAAAUAGUAAGUAUUUUUGGUCUCAG
rnacentral:lncRNA from 1 species